AUCAGAGCACUCGUAGCUCGGCUAACGCACGCUGAAACAAAACACCAAAAAGAGACGCUGAGACGUCAAAAGAAACACUCAAAAGGAAACAGAAUGCCAAUACAUGGACUUAUAUCCGACUCCCAACAAUAAACACAAACAAGGAAACAGAAUGCCAAUACAUGGACUUACAUCCAACUCCAAACAACAGAAACAUAAGGAAACAGAAUGCCGAUACAUGGACUUACAUCAAACUCCAAACAAUAGCAAACGCUAACCAGCGAACACCAAAGAAAAAAGUUAUCAGAAUGAACCCCAAAUGAGUAACCCAAUAUCCAAAGAUGAACCCCAAAGAUGAUAACUAUCAUCACAAAUGAAUCCCAAGUGAGUGACAACCGUCACAAAUGAACCCCAAACGAGUGACAACCGUCACAAAUGAACCCCAAGUG
rnacentral:lncRNA from 1 species